rnacentral:rRNA from 1 species
AGUGAACGCUGGCGGUAGGCCUAACACAUGCAAGUCGAACGGCAGCACAGUAAGAGCUUGCUCUUACGGGUGGCGAGUGGCGGACGGGUGAGGAAUACAUCGGAAUCUACUUUUUCGUGGGGGAUAACGUAGGGAAACUUACGCUAAUACCGCAUACGACCUACGGGUGAAAGCAGGGGAUCUUCGGACCUUGCGCGAUUGAAUGAGCCGAUGUCGGAUUAGCUAGUUGGCGGGGUAAAGGCCCACCAAGGCGACGAUCCGUAGCUGGUCUGAGAGGAUGAUCAGCCACACUGGAACUGAGACACGGUCCAGACUCCUACGGGAGGGAGCAGUGGGGAAUAUUGGACAGUGGGCGCAAGCCUGAUCCAGCCAUACCGCGUGGGUGAAGAAGGCCUUCGGGUUGUAAAGCCCUUUUGUUGGGAAAGAAAAGCAGCAGGUUAAUACCCCGCUGUUCUGACGGUACCCAAAGAAUAAGCACCGGCUAACUUCGUG